rnacentral:lncRNA from 1 species
UUUAGAUAUUUACUGUGGGCCAAACAUUACAUAGGCAACUUAAAUAUAAAAACCAGUAAGAAAUGAUACCUACCUGAAAGUGAUCCAAAGUAGGGGAAACAGGGGGAUGUGGAUGGGUCAGUUGGUUAAGCAUUUGCCUUUGGCUCAAGUCAUGAUCCCCAGGUCCUAGGAUCCAGCCCCAUAUCCGGCUCCCUGUUCAGGGAGGAGGCUGCAUCUUCUUCUCUCAUUCCUCCCACUUAUGCUGUCUGGCUCUCUCUCUCUUUGUCAUUAAAUAAACAAAAUCUUUAAAAACACAAAACAAAGCAAAGUAGUGGAAACAGACAUUUAAAAAAUACUGUGGUUAAGAGUUGUCACACAGGUAAGUACAGAGCACUCUGGGGCACAUAGCUCAGACUGGAGGACUCAUGCAGGUUUCCCAAAAGAGAUUAUUAAAAUGAACCUUGUAGAAUAACUAGAAGUUUGAUAGAUAAAAGUCCUUUUUGGUGCAAAGAUUUUUUUUCUAAACAUGCAGACCAGGAUGCAUAUGGACAUUUGACCUGAGUGUGAACCCAACAGGUAUUCAGAACUACAGUAUGGCUGGAACCUUGUAGGAAAGGGGAAGAUAACACUGGAGAGGCAAGUCAGAUCAGGUAAUGAAGAACACUGAACACCAUGCUGAAGAGUUAAAAUUUCAAGUGGAGGAUAAAACACAAGCGGAUUUACAUUGAAGAAGUAUGAUUCACAAAAGGCCAUGGACUCAAAAUCAGCUGGACCCAAAAAUAGUAGCUAAGCUGCUGACUGAAUCACACCGUACUUUAAAGAACGCUUCAGCAAUUUUGCUUUGUCUUUUGCCCUAGACAUCUCUUUAUAACUUUUCUGUUCUGAUAAUCUAUUCCAAAUUUCCUGCUUACCUGUGAAAUAUUUCUGCAAGGUAUUUUGCAGCCUUUUCCAUUCAUUUGUUGAGCUCACAAAAUCUCUGCUUAAAAUAUGACAUUGGUGAAAGCCAUGAAGAAAAC